UCUUGGGCUGUAAACCUCUUUUAUCAAGGAAGAAGAUCUGACGGUACUUGAUGAAUAAGCCACGGCUAAUUCCGUGCCAGCAGCCGCGGUAAUACGGGAGUGGCAAGCGUUAUCCGGAAUUAUUGGGCGUAAAGCGUCCGCAGGCGGCCUCGUAAGUCUGUCGUUAAAGCGUGGAGCUUAACUCCAUUAAGGCGAUGGAAACUGUGAGGCUUGAGUGUGGUAGGGGCAGAGGGAAUUCCCGGUGUAGCGGUGAAAUGCGUAGAUAUCGGGAAGAACACCAGUGGCGAAGGCGCUCUGCUGGGCCAUAACUGACGCUCAUGGACGAAAGCCAGGGGAGCGAAAGGGAUUAGAUACCCCUGUAGUCCUGGCCGUAAACGAUGAACACUAGGUGUCGGGGGAAUCGACCCCCUCGGUGUCGUAGCCAACGCGUUAAGUGUUCCGCCUGGGGAGUACGCACGCAAGUGUGAAACUCAAAGGAAUUGACGGGGGCCCGCACAAGCGGUGGAGUAUGUGGUUUAAUUCGAUGCAACGCGAAGAACCUUACCAGGGUUUGACAUCCUGCGAAUCCCUUGGAAACGGGGGAGUGCCUUCGGGAGCGCAGUGACAGGUGGUGCAUGGCUGUCGUCAGCUCGUGUCGUGAGAUGUUGGGUUAAGUCCCGCAACGAGCGCAACCCACGUCUUUAGUUGCCAGCAUUCAGUUGGGCACUCUAGAGAGACCGCCGGUGAUAGACCGGAGGAAGGUGUGGAUGACGUCAAGUCAUCAUGCCCCUUACAUCCUGGGCUACACACGUACUACAAUGCUACGGACAAAGGGCAGCAAACUCGCGAGAGCUAGCAAAUCCCAUAAACCGUGGCUCAGUUCAGAUCGUAGGCUGCAACUCGCCUACGUGGAAGGAGGAAUCGCUAGUAAUCG
rnacentral:rRNA from 1 species